rnacentral:misc_RNA from 1 species
GUCACCAAUCCUUUUAAUAGCGGUUACUUUCAAGGCCCACCCACUGCCCCUCUCGAGGCCGUAUCCGCUUGCACGGGUAUAUUUGGGUCGGGGUCUUACCCGGGAUAUCCGGGUCGGCUAUUGGUGGACAAGGCCACGGGGGCAAGCUACAACGCCCACGGUGUCAAUGGACGCAAGUACCUGUUACCGGCUAUGUGGGACCCGCAAACAAGUGCAUGCAAAACGCUUGUGUGAUGAAGACACCUGGCAAUAGGGGUUGUAAACGUGGCGGAAAUCUGUGCGGUGUAAUGUAGAUAUAUGGGGGAGGUCUGAUGGUGGGA